AGUGAACGCUGGCGGUAGGCCUAACACAUGCAAGUCGAACGGCAGCACAGGAGAGCUUGCUCUCUGGGUGGCGAGUGGCGGACGGGUGAGGAAUACAUCGGAAUCUACUCUGUCGUGGGGGAUAACGUAGGGAAACUUACGCUAAUACCGCAUACGACCUACAGGUGAAAGCAGGGGAUCUUCGGACCUUGCGCGAUUGAAUGAGCCGAUGUCGGAUUAGCUAGCUGGCGGGGUAAAGGCCCACCAAGGCGACGAUCCGUAGCUGGUCUGAGGGGUUGAGCAACCAAACAGGACCGGAAGAAAAAUCCUAAUCCCUACGGGACGCGGCAGUGGGGAAUAGUGGACAAGGGGCGCAAGCCUGGUCCCGCCAGACCGCGCGGGUGAAGAAGGCCUUCGGGUUGUAAAGCCCUAUUGUUGGGAAAGAAAACCCGCUGGCGAAUACCCGGUUGGGAUGACGGUACCCAUAGAAUAAGCACCGGCUAACUGCGUGCCAGACGCCGCCGUAA
rnacentral:rRNA from 1 species